rnacentral:rRNA from 1 species
GACGAACGCUGGCGGCGUGCUUAACACAUGCAAGUCGAACGGAAAGGCCCUGCUUUUGUGGGGUGCUCGAGUGGCGAACGGGUGAGUAACCCGUGAGUAACCUGCCCUUGACUUUGGGAUAACUUCAGGAAACUGGGGCUAAUACCGGAUAGGAGCUCCUGCUGCAUGGUGGGGGUUGGAAAGUUUCGGCGGUUGGGGUUGGACUCGCGGCUUAUCAGCUUGUUGGUGGGGUAGUGGCUUACCAAGGCUUUGACGGGUAGCCGGCCUGAGAGGGUGACCGGCCACAUUGGGACUGAGGUACGGCCCAGACUCCUACGGGAGGCAGCAGUGGGGAAUAUUGCACAAUGGGCGGAAGCCUGAUGCAGCAACGCCGCGUGCGGGAUGACGGCCUUCGGGUUGUAAACCGCUUUCGCCUGUGACGAAGCGUGAGUGACGGUAAUGGGUAAAGAAGCACCGGCUAACUACGUG